rnacentral:rRNA from 1 species
CUACGUGCCAGCAGCCGCGGUAAUACGGAAGGUCCGGGCGUUAUCCGGAUUUAUUGGGUUUAAAGGGAGCGUAGGCCGGAGAUUAAGUGUGUUGUGAAAUGUAGACGCUCAACGUCUGACUUGCAGCGCAUACUGGUUUCCUUGAGUACGCACAACGUUGGCGGAAUUCGUCGUGUAGCGGUGAAAUGCUUAGAUAUGACGAAGAACUCCGAUUGCGAAGGCAGCUGACGGGAGCGCAACUGACGCUUAAGCUCGAAGGUGCGGGUAUCGAACAGGAUUAGAUACCCUGGUAGUCCGCACAGUAAACGAUGGAUGCCCGCUGUUGGUACCUGGUAUCAGCGGCUAAGCGAAAGCAUUAAGCAUCCCACCUGGGGAGUACGCCGGCAACGGUGAAACUCAAAGGAAUUGACGGGGACCCGCACAAGCGGUGGAGCAUGUGGUUUAAUUCGACGCAACGCGAGGAACCUUACCAGAUCUUGACAUCCCG